UAGGUCUGUAAUGCGGUGAAGUUAUGAUAGCCGCUGACGGAUAUUUUCAUCCACUAGAAGAAAUCUGAGUGAGUUUAGCUAGAACGGAAUCUACAACGAAAACUUCCCGACCACAUGACCACACUGAUAUUUAUCAGCAAACAUUAGUUUCCUGUGGACCAUAAGAAGAGAAGCUUGUUUACCCUGAUCUUCUCUACUCUUCACGCAUUUAAUGGAAAUCUCAGUUCUUAAAUCCACAUAAUAAGAAAUGACUGUUCCCCCAAUGAAGCGGCUACUAUUGACACUCAAAUAUUUUGCCUCUGUUGAUUUUUUCUGCCCACUGGUGACUUAAAUGGUGCUGACAAAGGGACAACCAGCAGAAUUAUUAAAAGGACACUGGACAACAUAUACAGAAGACAGUUUUGUUAAUUAUUUGUUCUCUAAUGUAAUUAAGUGAAAAUAAAAUACACACAUGU